UACGGAGGGGGCUAGCGUUGCUCGGAAUCACUGGGCGUAAAGGGCGCGUAGGCGGCCAUUCAAGUCGGGGGUGAAAGCCUGUGGCUCAACCACAGAAUUGCCUUCGAUACUGUUUGGCUUGAGUUUGGUAGAGGUUGGUGGAACUGCGAGUGUAGAGGUGAAAUUCGUAGAUAUUCGCAAGAACACCAGUGGCGAAGGCGGCCAACUGGACCAACACUGGACG
rnacentral:rRNA from 1 species